rnacentral:rRNA from 1 species
AUUGAACGCUGGCGGCAGGCUUAACACAUGCAAGUCGAGCGGGGUGAUGGUGCUUGCACUAUCACUUAGCGGCGGACGGGUGAGUAAUGCUUAGGAAUCUGCCUAUUAGUGGGGGACAACAUCUCGAAAGGGAUGCUAAUACCGCAUACGUCCCACGGGAGAAAGCAGGGGAUCACUUGUGACCUUGCGCUAAUAGAUGAGCCUAAGUCGGAUUGGCUAGUUGGUGGGGUAAAGGCCUACCAAGGCGACGAUCUGUAGCGGGUCUGAGAGGAUGAUCCGCCACGCUGGGACUGAGACACGGCCCAGACUCCGACGGGAGGCAGCAGUGGGGAAUAUUGGACGAUGGGGGGAACCCUGAUCCAGCCAUGCCGCGUGUGUGAAGAAGGCCUUAUGGUUGUAAAGCACUUUAAGCGAGGAGGAGGCUCUUUUGGUUAAUACCCAAGAUGAGUGGACGUUACUCGCAGAAUAAGCACCGGCUAACUCUGUGCCAGCCGCCGCAGUAA